UACAGAGGUCUCAAGCGUUGUUCGGAUUCAUUGGGCGUAAAGGGUGCGUAGGUGGCGCCGUAAGUCAGGUGUGAAAUUUCGGAGCUUAACUCCGAAACUGCAUUUGAUACUGCGGUGCUUGAGGACUGGAGAGGAGACUGGAAUUCACGGUGUAGCAGUGAAAUGCGUAGAUAUCGUGAGGAAGACCAGUGGCGAAGGCGGGUCUCUGGACAGUUCCUGACACUGAGGCACGAGGCCAGGGGAGCAAACGGG
rnacentral:rRNA from 1 species